rnacentral:rRNA from 1 species
UACGAAGGGGGCUAGCGUUGCUCGGAAUCACUGGGCGUAAAGGGUGCGUAGGCGGGUCUUUAAGUCAGGGGUGAAAUCCUGGAGCUCAACUCCAGAACUGCCUUUGAUACUGAAGAUCUUGAGUUCGGGAGAGGUGAGUGGAACUGCGAGUGUAGAGGUGAAAUUCGUAGAUAUUGCAAGAACACCAGUGGCGAAGGCGGCUCACUGGCCCGGUACUGACGCUG